ensembl:lncRNA
GUUAAACCAUUACUUUUUAGUGCCAAGUAAUAUUUCAUGGUCUUUAUAUACCACAGUUUAUUCAUAAGCCUACUAAAGGAUAUUUUUGUUAUUUUCGAAAUUUGACAAUUAUGCUUCCCUAGUGGCUCAGAUGGUAAAGCGUCUGCCUGUGAUGCAGGAGACCUGGAUUCUAUCCCUGGGUCAGGAAGAUCCUCUGGAGAAGGAAAUGGCAAUUCACCCUGGUAUGCUUGUCUGGAAAAUUCCAUGGAUGGAGAAGCCUGGAAAAUUCAGGUAUAAUUUUGAACGUAAGUGGUGAGAGUAAGGGCCUUCCAGGUGGCUCAGUGGUAAAGAAUCUGCCUGCCAAUGCAGGAGAUGCAGUAAUCCCUGGGUUGUGAAGAUGCCCUGGAGGAGGAAAUGGCAACCCUCUCCAGUAUUAUUGCCUGGGAAGUGCCAUGGACAGAGGAGCCUGGCGGGCUACAGUCCGUGGAUCGUGAAAGAGUCAGACACGACAGAGCACACAGCACAGAGUACAUCAGGCAAAUGCCAGGCUGGAUGAAGCACAAGCUGGAAUCAAGAUAAC